UAUGGUCAGAUCACGUUGAGGUACCUGUCCCCGUACGAUCACCGACGUUAAGCAACGUCGAGCCUGGUCACUACCUAGAUCGGUGACUGCUUGGGAAUACCAGAUGCUGUAAG